rnacentral:misc_RNA from 1 species
GAGAAAUGCUCAGUUGGUAUGACCGCUAGUUACUAAAAGGUUACUAGGGUUAUGUUGGUACGACUCCUAACGACGCUCUUUUGUCUUGGGAGUCGACCACGUCUUAAUUGCUAAGACGCAUUGGGAAAGAUUAGGCGUUUGCUGUGUGAUUUGGUGUUUUGUAUAAGAGAGAAAAUAAAAGGUGUGAUAACCAAUCCGAGUGGAUCAGCUUGAUUAUCAACCCCAACCUAUAUAAAAUAACAAAUCCCGAGGAAAUUGGAUACUUCUCUGGUCCUAAAUGGCAAAGGAACAGAUUAUCAAAGAAAAGACCAGCUGCUAAGGAUUCGCCGCCACGAUGGCUAGAGCUUGGAAUAGCUGCUGAUUACUCCGUGGUAGAUUUUCAUGGAAUUCGAGUACAACAAUAUAUCUUGGCUCUUUUAAACAUCGUCAGUGCAAUUUACAUGGAUCCAUCGCUCGAAUCCAACAUGAUUCUAGUGAUCGUACGAAUGAUUUUAUACGCGGAAAAACGAGACGGUAUGAUCGAUAAAAUGCAACGAGUUCCAUUUUGUUAAAUUGGACAACCGUGAACGAUCCCUUGUCUUUGUUGCAACUACGGGAAGAUAGGAAAAACCUAUCUUCCACGAACGAUGCCCCCCGUCAACAACCUCCCCUCAAGGACGGCCAGCAUCUCUUUCAAAACGCCGAUAUGGAGAUCGACCAAUUAGCAACAGCGCUCAUUUCCCUCACUUUUGGAACAAAAGCUUUCUUUGACGAAUCCGAGGAUCUCAUGUCCUUAGACCCACCCAUUAUAGUUUUCCUCGACGGCAUCGUCGAGACGGAGAGUUACUCUCCGGUACGAUCUCGACGACGAUUCAAGUAACUAUCGGAUACGUAGUGAUUGCCCCACGCAUUAACAUUGAGUAUAACUUAGACGCUAAAGAAGAGUAGAGUUCGUCAUUCCGUUGACCGUGGAUUCGUUAUUGAGCCUAGGAUCAUCGUCAUUAGCUUCUCGAGUAUCAAAUUAUCGCGAUUACUUGUCCAAUUCCAUCAUGGUCAUGUUUGCACUGGUAAAUAUCUCCUCUAUUGCAUAACGAUCACGUCUAGCGCCAAUAGGGAUUCGUUUCACGCCCUUAACCCUAACUCUAAUCUUAACGCCAAACCGACAUAUAUAUAUAUAUAUACAUACAUAUAUAUAUUUUAUACAUACAUACAUAUAUCAAUUUUUAUACACACAAUUAUACAUAUUUAUAU